CUGCGCACUUCCUACGGAGGCAGCAGUGGGGAAUAUUGCACAAUGGGCGCAAGCCUGAUGCAGCCAUGCCGCGUGUAUGAAGAAGGCCUUCGGGUUGUAAAGUACUUUCAGCAGUGAGGAAGGUGGAUAUGUUAAUAGCAUAUUCAUUUGACGUUAGCUGCAGAAGAAGCACCGGCUAACUCCGUGCCAGCAGCCGCGGUAAUACGGAGGGUGCGAGCGUUAAUCGGAAUUACUGGGCGUAAAGCGCAUGCAGGUGGUUUGUUAAGUCAGAUGUGAAAGCCCGGGGCUCAACCUCGGAAUUGCAUUUGAAACUGGCAAACUAGAGUACUGUAGAGGGGGUAGAAUUUCAGGUGUAGCGGUGAAAUGCGUAGAGAUCUGAAGGAAUACCGGUGGCGAAGGCGGCCCCCUGGACAGAUACUGACACUCAGAUGCGAAAGCGUGGGGAGCAAACAGGAUUAGAUACCCUGGUAG
rnacentral:rRNA from 1 species